rnacentral:rRNA from 1 species
AACGAACGCUGGCGGCAGGCUUAACACAUGCAAGUCGAACGCAUCCUUCGGGGUGAGUGGCAGACGGGUGAGUAACGCGUGGGAACGUGCCCUUCAGUUCGGGAUAACACAGGGAAACUUGGGCUAAUACCGGAUACGUGCGAGAGCAGAAAGAUUUAUCGCUGAAGGAUCGGCCCGCGUGUGAUUAGCUAGUUGGUGGGGUAACGACCGACCAAGGCGACGAUCAGUAGCUGGUCUGAGAGGAUGAUCAGCCACCUUGGGACUGAGACAGGGACCAAAGACCUACGGGAGGCAGCAGUGGGGAGUCUUGGACAAGGGGCGCAAGCCUGAUCCAGCCAUGCCGCGUGAGGGAUGAAGGCCUUAGGGUGGUAAAGCUCUUUCGUCCGGGGCGAUAAUGACGGUACCGGAAGAAGAAGCCCCGGCUAACUUCGUGCCAGCAGCCGCCGUAA